AUUGAACGCUGGCGGCAUGCCUUACACGUGCAGGUCGAACGGUAACGCGGGGCAACCUGGCGACGAGUGGCGAACGGGUGAGUAACGCAUCGGAACGUGCCCAGUAGUGGGGGAUAGCCCGGCGAAAGCCGGAUUAAUACCGCAUACGACCUACGGGUGAAAGCGGGGGACCGCGAGGCCUCGCGCUAUUGGAGCGGCCGAUGUCAGAUUAGGUUGUUGGUGGGGUAAAGGCUCACCAAGCCGACGAUCUGUAGAGGGUCUGAGAGGACGAGCAGCCAGACUGGGGCUUGGACACGGGCCAGACGCCUACGGGAGGCAGCAGUGGGGAAUUGUGGACAGUGGGGGCAACCCUGGUCCAGCCAUGGCGCGGGCGGGAAGAAGGCCUUCGGGUUGUAAACCGCUUUUGUCAGGGAAGGAAUUGUCCGGGCUAAUACCCCGGGCUGAUGACGGUACCUGAAGAAUAAGCACCGGCUAACUACGUGCCAGCCGCCGCGGUAACAC
rnacentral:rRNA from 1 species